AAAUUGAAGAGUUUGAUCAUGGCUCAGAUUGAACGCUGGCGGCAGGCCUAACACAUGCAAGUCGAACGGUGACAGGAAGAAGCUUGCUUCUUUGCUGACGAGUGGCGGACGGGUGAGUAAUGUCUGGGAAACUGCCUGAUGGAGGGGGAUAACUACUGGAAACGGUAGCUAAUACCGCAUAACGUCGCAAGACCAAAGAGGGGGACCUUCGGGCCUCUUGCCAUCGGAUGUGCCCAG
rnacentral:rRNA from 1 species